rnacentral:rRNA from 1 species
UGAGUAACCUGCCCUUCACUCUGGGAUAACUCCGGGAAACCGGGGCUAAUACUGGAUAUGACUCGAACAGGCAUCUGUUUCGGGUGGAAAGAUUUAUUGGUGGAGGAUGGACUCGCGGCCUAUCAGCUUGUUGGUGAGGUAAUGGCUCACCAAGGCGACGGACGGGUAGCCGGCCUGAGAGGGCGAUCGGCCACACGUGGGACUGAGACCACGGCCCAGACUCCUAGUGGGAGG